AAUCAGAAUUUUAUUGAAUCAGAAUCGAAAUUGAACUCAAAUUAUAUUAAAAUUUUGAUUUAAUUUCGAUUAUCUCAUACCAAAACCAAAGCUGCCCACUCCUACUUAUAUCCACCCUUAUCUUGUAUAAUAAUCUCAAUAAUAAAAACCCAUCAAAACCAAGUCUAGCUCCUGUACACUUAUUUGGUUUUCUCCAAAUGCUUCAAAGUAUAACACAGGCACUUUGUUUUCAAUUUCAAUCAAACCCAUUGCCAUUUAGCCCAGAUGUCAAGCUCCAUACAAUGCUCUCUCAGGACGGAGGAGAAACAUCGUAAAGAGAAGUAAUGGAGUGCUGCUGAAUAACAGAAGAAGAGUGCCUAUUAUGUAAUAAAAAUAAAAUUAAAAUUAAAAUUUUAUUAAAGCACAUCUCUCAUAUAUAUAUAUAUAUACGGGGCAAUCCACGGUCAUCCAAAUAGCAUCCACUAAAUCAACUCUGACUGGCUAUUUUAUGUUUAGAGACUUGCUUAUUUUGGCUUGGUUCGAUCAAAUUUGAGAUUUUCAACUCAAGGUUUGCACUCAAAAGCAGCUGUUAAUUCAUUGAUGACGUUUAGUCAGAAUUUAAAAGAAUAUCAAAAUUACUUAUAAUUUUUAAUUGAAUCAAAUUUUUGUUAAAUAAAAAAGACAGACAAAUCUUGAACUCAAUUCAGACUGCAAUAUUAGUUCUCGCCAAUACCAUAAUAAUAACAAUAAUAAAGAUGAUGAUGAUGAUUUUUUAAUGCAAUAAACCCAUCUUGCUGGUAUUUAGAUGAUGAAAAUUGGGAAAAAAAGAAAGAUCUCACUAGUGACGCUUCAUUUCACGAAAGAUGUUUGCCACCUUCGGAGAUAAUCUUGGAAGGAAUUUAAACAACCAAAGCUUUACGCAUGCGUCAAUAACAACCGGAACCAGGCUGAUAAAAAUAGUAAUAGCAGACUGAUCAACUUCAAGCCCGUAGUGUUCAACAAUUACUUCCAACAAGGUCUGCCAACCAGAUUCAGAAUGAUACCCUAAGAAAAUGUCUGUAACAAGUAUAAUGAGAAAUGCCUUCCCAGUGUCUGAAAUAUUAUUUAUUAUCUUAUAUCCAGUAAAUUUCAGCAAAGCUACUUUACUCUGAUUGAAGUACAAAAGAAUGAACAAUGAGAUCCCAAAUACCAUAUCUGACCAUAUGUUGGCAAAUGCUCUACGGUUUUCUAACCUCCACUCAUCCCGUAGCUCCAACGCUUUGUGCCGUAACUCCCACCAGACCUCCUCAUCAGAAAGAGGUGGAGAUUUGCCAAUCUCUACUUCAAGCCGCAAUCUUGCUCGCUCUGUGUUUAGUUCCUUAACCAUUUCAAGCUUUUGAUUCCUUCUCACAUCAAGCAUCUGUGCUGCAAGUGGUACAGUCUUCACAUACCUGUCAAGAAAGGGCAUGAGAACAUAAUCAUGAACAGCAAAGUCCAGAGCCCAAGGAAUUAAUAUUAAUACUGCCAGAAAUUUAGCCGAAUUUGAGGAGGCAUAUCUGAAGACACGGUCUUCAUAGAGCAAAUCCUCUUCUUCCCUACCAAGAACCAAAUCUCUAACUGACUCAACAAACCCUUUCUCUGGAACGAGGUCACUGGGAUCAGACCGCACAUCCUCUGCUGCACCAUUGCCAUCCAACUCUUGACUCCACCAAGAACCAUUCACAUUAUGAUUAUUACUAUCGUCCACAAUCCAAUCCUCCCACCUCCUACUCUCCUCAUUCAACAUGUCUUCUUGUGCUUCCCUCAACUCCACAAUGGCCUCAGCUCUCCUCUUCCAUGCCUCAAACUUCUGCUCCUCCGACAGCUCUUCAUCACUUGAACUUUCUAACAAUUCAUCCUCCAGCAUAUCAUCAUCUUUUAAACCAAGCCAAUUGCCAUCAUCAUCAAAAAAGAACCUCUGCCACCAACUUCUUUUCUUUGAGUUACGUUUGUUAUUCUUCCUUGCAUUUGGUACUAUCUCACAAAAUCCCCUCCUUGCUCUACUCAAUUGGAGCAAACAAUUGGGUGACGCAAGAGAAGAUAAAGAAUUCCUAAGUGGGUUUUGAUCAAUAAUGACUAAACUCUGGCACAACACCAUUGAAUUGCUCAUUAAGAAUAACAUGUACAAAAUCCCAUCCUUUUUGGCUUCUCAAAAUAAUAACACACUACAAAUGAAACUAAACAAACUGUCAAGCAGCUUACUAAAAUUCAAGAAAGGCAUUACAUACUUGAGUUUUGCUAGUUUCUUUGCAGAAUUAAGCAUAAGAACCCCUUGGAAAUGGCAAAAUCGCUCAUAAGAAACAACAAAUUCUUCUAUCGAGAAAAGAAAACAAGGAAAAAAAAAAAAAAACUCCAGAGACCCAGAAAUCCUCUAACUUCAACAGUUGACAAGCAGAAAAGAUAGUAGAAUUUCUUUGCACAGUGAAGCUGAAAUAAGGUAACGGUUUUGGGAUAGCGUCCGGAUGAAACCCAUUUCGUCCAAGUGACAUGACAACCCUUUGGGUUUUUAUGCAGAGAAGAGCAAUAACUGUGGCAUGAACGUAAAUCGAAAUAAACGUUAGGGGGUAAUCUCA
rnacentral:misc_RNA from 1 species